rnacentral:misc_RNA from 1 species
UUUUAAGAUUACAUGGAGGAUCAGGGCAUAGGAAGGGGCUCUGUUAGCAGCAUCCCCACUUCAAAGUUAAUGACUUAGUCUAACGGAAUAUAAUUCCAAUUUCUUCUAGCUGUAAACUCAUCUCCACUCCACUCUGAAAUCACUUAUCGAAGUCCCAUAAUGCUACAUUCAAGAUGUUAUAGUAACUGCGUUGCCAAACUGAUUCAGGUUUCUCAAACCAAGGAUUCUGAUUCUAUGCACGACACAAAUGUACCAUAUGGCUUGUAAAUAUACAAAAGGGACAGAAUCAGCAAAUGCACAAUUAGAUUGAUUAUCUGGACUGAAUUUAGUUUUGAGACUGUAAAAACAUGAAUUCCAUGAUUGACAUUUUGAUACGACUUGUAGGAAACCGUGACACCACGAGCAGCGAACCAAAAGUGAAGCAGGGAAACUUGGCUCCAGGCUCCCUAAGCCUAAAUUAAAACAUCAAAAUAAAGGUAUCACAAAAAGAAAUCCCUACUGGUCAAAUUGAAUAUCAAAUUCGCUAUCUGCUAAGUCGAUAAGUCUUUUUCCGGAUAACGGCAUUUCUGUACCACCCUGAGCACAAUCAACUAUUCCAUCAGUGACUUGCUACAUUCCACCAGUACCCAAUAAAAAGUAACUCACCAGGGACAAACAGGAAGAAAUCACUCAAUGUUUGUUUUCUCCUCUGAGUAUUAAACAUGAGACCUCAUAGGUUUGAUCCCACUUCAGUGACUAUUAGGCCACAUCCAAGGGUGCUUGUCAACUCCCGAUAGAGUCAGUAUUGGAGAUGCAUUACUUUUGUUUUGUCAUAAUGAUCUUACUCUUCAGGUUAACUAGUAUAAACAAGAAACAUUUCUCACGUAAAAAGAGAAGCUCACAGUUUGAUCUUGACUCUCCAAACACUGUCGGGACGAAUAUGACACAGUUAGCAGCGAAGAGUUUGUUGACAUAAGACCUGUUACUAAACAACACACACGGCAGAGAAAGAUAAAGAACAUAAAAUUGAAACUAAAAUGCCCCCCAAUUAUGCAGACAGAAGAGAGCAGGGUACCUUUUGUUUGAGGGAAGAGAAGUUAUCCAAUAGCGAGGCAAAAAGAGAAACCAUCGCUUUGUGCAAGGAGAAGUAAUAUCAAGCUGCAGAUGCUAAACCUUUAUUAGCUACUCAAAACAGCUAAAACCACAUCAAUCUUCACUAUCAGAGCUGG